UGGGGAAUUUUGCACAAUGGGGGGAACCUUGAUGCAGCGACGCCGCGUGAGGGAUGGAGGCCUUCGGGUUGUGAACCUCUUUCGCUCGUGUGCAAGCCGCUAUUUGGGUAGUGGUGAGUGUAGCGGGUAAAGAAGCGCCGGCUAACUACGUGCCAGCAGCCGCGGUAAUACGUAGGGCGCGAGCGUUGUCCGGAUUUAUUGGGCGUAAAGGGCUUGUAGGCGGUUUGUCGGGCCUGUCGUGUAAUCCUCUGGCUUAACUGGGGGUGUGCGGUGGGUACGGGCAGGCUUGAGUGCGGUAGGGGAGAUUGGAAUUCCUGGUGUAGCGGUGGAAUGCGCAGAUAUCAGGAGGAACACCGGUGGCGAAGGCGGGUCUCUGGGCCGUUACUGACGCUGAGGAGCGAAAGCGUGGGUAGCGAACAGG
rnacentral:rRNA from 1 species